AUGAUGUCAUCUAUGCACCCUAAGUUUGUCGGGCGCCAUUACGCUUAUGGCUGCUUUUAUUUGGAGUCCACAAUGAAUAAGAAGUUGCUCGUGUUUGACACGCGGAGGAUGGAGUUCUCCAUUGUCGACGUCCCACACGAAACAUCAAACAUGUUCGGUCUAGCCAUUGUGGAGGCAGGAGAAGACAUGAUUGGCAUGUUUGAUAUCCAUAAUGAUCUCCGUUAUUACAUUAGAGGAAACAAAGGUGAGAGUUCUAGCCAGUGGAAGUCUGGAAGAUCAAGAAGACAAUCUCACUACCUUCUGAUUAUCAGUACUAUAUCCAAGCUUCAACCGGUAGGUACUUGCUCCUAA
rnacentral:rRNA from 1 species